rnacentral:rRNA from 1 species
GCGUGUGUGAAGAAGGCCUUCGGGUUGUAAAGCACUUUCAGUCGUGAGGAAGGUGGUGUAGUUAAUAGCUGCAUUAUUUGACGUUAGCGACAGAAGAAGCACCGGCUAACUCCGUGCCAGCAGCCGCGGUAAUACGGAGGGUGCGAGCGUUAAUCGGAAUUACUGGGCGUAAAGCGCAUGCAGGUGGUUUGUUAAGUCAGAUGUGAAAGCCCGGGGCUCAACCUCGGAAUAGCAUUUGAAACUGGCAGACUAGAGUACUGUAGAGGGGGGUAGAAUUUCAGGUGUAGCGGUGAAAUGCGUAGAGAUCUGAAGGAAUACCGGUGGCGAAGGCGGCCCCCUGGACAGAUACUGACACUCAGAUGCGAAAGCGUGGGGAGCAAACAGGAUUAGAUACCCUGGUAGUCCACGCCGUAAACGAUGUCUACUUGGAGGUUGUGGCCUUGAGCCGUGGCUUUCGGAGCUAACGCGUUAAGUAGACCGCCUGGGGAGUACGGUCGCAAGAUUAAAACUCAAAUGAAUUGACGGGGGCCCGCACAAGCGGUGGAGCAUGUGGUUUAAUUCGAUGCAACGCGAAGAACCUUACCUACUCUUGACAUCCAGAGAACUUUCCAGAGAUGGAUUGGUGCCUUCGGGAACUCUGAGACAGGUGCUGCAUGGCUGUCGUCAGCUCGUGUUGUGAAAUGUUGGGUUAAGUCCCGCAACGAGCGCAACCCUUAUCCUUGUUUGCCAGCGAGUAAUGUCGGGAACUCCAGGGAGACUGCCGGUGAUAAACCGGAGGAAGGUGGGGACGACGUCAAGUCAUCAUGGCCCUUACGAGUAGGGCUACACACGUGCUACAAUGGCGCAUACAGAGGGCGGCCAACUUGCGAAGUGAGCGAAUCCCAAAAAGUGCGUCGUAGUCCGGAUUGGAGUCUGCAACUCGACUCCAUGAAGUCGGAAUCGCUAGUAAUCGUGGAUCAGAAUGCCACGGUGAAUACGUUCCCGGGCCUUGUACACACCGCCCGUCACACCAUGGGAGUGGGCUGCAAAAGAAGUAGGUAGUUUAACCUUCGGGGGGACGCUUACCA